rnacentral:rRNA from 1 species
AUAACGGUCCUAAGGUAGCGAAAUUCCUUGUCAGGUAAGUUCUGACCCGCACGAAAGGCGUAACGAUUUGGGCGCUGUCUCAGCUGUAGACUCGGUGAAGUCUUAGUACCUGUGAAGAUGCAGGUUACCCGCGACUAGACGGAAAGACCCCAUGGAGCUUUACUGUAGCUUGAUAUUGGACUUUGAUGCAAGAUGUACAGGAUAGGUAGGAGACUGAGAGACAUGCACGCCAGUGUGUGAGGAGUCAAUGUUGGGAUACUACUCUUCUUGUAUUGGAGUUCUAACCGGAUGCCAUGGAACUGGCAACGGGACAGUGUCAGGUGGGCAGUUUGACUGGGGCGGUCGCCUCCCAAAGAGUAACGGAGGCGCCCAAAGAUACCCUCAGCUUGGAUGGAAAUCAAGCGCAGAGUGCAAAGGCAUAAGGGUGUUUGACUGCGAGACCUACAAGUCGAGCAGGGACGAAAGUCGGGCUUAGUGAUCCGGCGGUGCUGAAUGGAAAGGCCGUCGCUCAACGGAUAAAAGCUACCCUGGGGAUAACAGGCUGAUCUCCCCCAAGAGUCCACAUCGACGGGGAGGUUUGGCACCUCGAUGUCGGCUCAUCACAUCCUGGGGCUGUAGUAGGUCCCAAGGGUUGGGCUGUUCGCCCAUUAAAGUGGUACGCGAGCUGGGUUCAGAACGUCGUGAGACAGUUCGGUCCCUAUCCGUCGCAGGCGUAGGAAAUUUGAGGAGACCUGUCCUUAGUACGAGAGGACCGGGAUGGACGUACCGCUGGUGUACCAGUUGUUCUGCCAAGGGCAUGGCUGGGUAGCUAAGUACGGAAAGGAUAAGCGCUGAAAGCAUCUAAGCGCGAAGCCCACUUCAAGAUAAGAUUUCCCACCGCAAGGUUAAGAUCCCAGGAAGACUACCUGGUUGAUAGGUCAGAGGUGUAAGUGCAGUAAUGUAUUUAGCUUACUGAUACUAAUAGAUCGAGGACUUGACCAA